ACUCUGCCCUGUUUUUUAGAAGCUCACACCAAGCCUAAUGGCGACGAUGAUGACUUUCGCCCCCUGGAAUCCCAGUUCUUUACGCAUUUUGCCACCCUCACCCUCAACGACACGUCGUUUGGUCAAGCCUGCACACUGCGCACCCAUCCAACAACAACGACAAGAACCAGAGCUUUUUCCAAGGGUGAUGUAGCAGUUCUGUGCGAGGCCUGCAAUGGCAGAGGGUGGUUGCUCUGUGAUUUUUGCAAAGGCCAGAAAACCAAUGUGAAAUCUGAGACCAAUCGAAUCUACCGUCGAUGCCCAACUUGCAGAGCUAUUGGUCAGGUUUUAUGUUCAAAGUGCAAAGUGUUCAAAUGUGUCACAUUCCCAAAUUACAAUGAUGGUGAAGAGGUGUCUUUUUGAGCCUUUAAUUUCAUCUGGGUUGCUUCCUUAUUGAUACAUAUGAAUAUGAUAUGAGUUAGGAGGGAUUGAUUGAUUCCUCCACAACUACUUUGAUUUUUCGGAGAUGGUUUUCAUUGUUUCGAACAGCUUAUGUUCACUGUUAAGGUUUUUUUUUUUUUUUUUGGCUCAUGUGUAAUUUGUUUGAGAGGAAGCAAUAUUACAAAUGAAAAUGGCAAG